GACGAACGCUGGCGGCGUGCUUAACACAUGCAAGUCGAACGGAAAGGCCCUGCUUUUGUGGGGUGCUCGAGUGGCGAACGGGUGAGUAACACGUGAGUAACCUGCCCUUGACUUUGGGAUAACUUCAGGAAACUGGGGCUAAUACCGGAUAGGAGCUCCUGCUGCAUGGUGGGGGUUGGAAAGUUUCGGCGGUUGGGGAUGGACUCGCGGCUUAUCAGCUUGUUGGUGGGGUAGUGGCUUACCAAGGCUUUGACGGGUAGCCGGCCUGAGAGGGUGAGCGGCCACAUUACGACUGAGAUACGGCCCAGACUCGUACGGGAGGCAGCAGUGGGGAAUAUUGCACAAUGGGCGGAAGCCUGAUGCAGCAACGCCGCGUGCGGGAUGACGGCCUUCGGGUUGUAAACCACUUUCGCCUGUGACGAAGCGUGAGUGACGGUAAUGGGUAAAGAAGCACCGGCUAACUACGUG
rnacentral:rRNA from 1 species